AAACGUAUCAAUAGGUCUCGACUCCCCUCCCCUUCUGAAACGUAUCAAUAGGUCUCUUUAAUUUUUCACAAAAACUUCUGGAUAAAUUGCUUUCAGUUGUCGCUUAUCGUCUCUGCAACUCUUGCGGCGCAGCUUUCGUUUCCACUAGGGUUUGGCCGCACAAAAUCGCCAACUCUGCAACUCUUUGAUUGUUCUUCUGAGAUUAUCUUCUUCCUCCUGAUCCCAAGUGGCAUGGAUAAGAUUUUGAAACCAGGGAAGGUUCGAUCAGUAUCGCAAUUUCACUUCUUCUUCAAUUUCGCUUCACCAUCACCACUUCAAAGACGAAGCUUCCAGAACCCACCCCGAAAAGUGUGUUCCAGAGGCAUGGAUGGAAGUAGUGAUGGGAAUGGGAAAGAGAAGGAGUUAGCGGGAGAAAAUGGUUUCCUGAAAGUGUCAGAGGCUUCUAUCAGUUCUACUAAAUCAGUAUUACAGCUAGAAUAAUUUGUUCUUUUUUUUCCCUAAUUUGUUCUCUUUUUUCCUGAACUAUUUGUUCUCAUGAACCUGUUUCUUUCUGACAUCUAUUUUACGGUAGGGCUAUGAAAAAUCCUCAUAGAAUUUCUCAAGGACUGAGGCUGCUAAUAGAUCCAGUAAGAAUGACACUUGAAGAGGAUUUUAAAAAAACAACAUGCAAAAGUUCCAGGGAUCAAGUCUCAAAUAUAAAUUCUAACUUGACAGUUGCAAGGUUUUGGAUUCUCUGCUUCAUAGCUCAAUAACUAUCUACUUGCUAUUCCUCAAACACUUCAAUUGGCGUCGUCCAUGAAUUCUGCAGCAGACCAACCCACGGUGGAGAGGAGUAUUCACGCGAGCCUUAUGCAGCAGCUUCGGUGGAACCGACCUCCAUAUGGAUUUGUGAAAGCGAACUUUGAUGCGGCAUGUUCAGAUACUCAUAGAACUGGCUUCGGUUUGAUUAUCAGGGAUGUCCAGGGGAUUUAUUAUUUGUUGUGUGCUACAAACCUAUAAGCAAAUUCAAUCCCACCUUGGCAGAAGCAAGCUUUUAGGUGGGCUAUGCAGAACUGUGUAAAUUGGGGGCUCACGAAUAUAGCUUUUGAAACAGAUUGCAGUAUGCUAACUAAAAUAUGGCAUUCCCCGGGUAUUUCUGUAUCAUAUCUGCAUUCCAUUCUGGAAGACUGUAAGAUGAUUAUUUCUAAUGUAGGCACAUACUCUUUGCCAGUGUAAUAUGGUUGCUGAUCUAAUGGCAAAGUAUGCCAUUGUUUUUCCUGAUAAUGUAUGGGUUGAGGAAGGUCCAUUUGGUUUAUGAUCAAUAUUGUUAGAGGACCAAUCUUCCCUUUCCAUUCCUAAUCAAUGAUAUAUAUGUGGUUUGCCCGUAAAAAAAACCAUAUAUGUUUUGUUUUUCAUUAGUUUCUUAUUUCAUCACAAAAGGAUUUAUGACAUAUUUUGCGGUUCAUUGCAAUCGUUUUUCGGUGAUUGCUUAGUGUUAAUUCUUAUUUGGUUUUCAUUUUGCAGUUAUCAUCAGAGUCAUAUUCUGCACGACCAUCGCAGAUUCUAGCUCCAAUUUUAAUGGGGACAUGACAUCUACACCUGGGCUGAGCUUUGCCCCACCUGCUUUAUUAAGUUGGUAGCAGCACAACAAGAAAGUUAAGAUUAGUUUCAAAUCAAAAUCAGGCUGUGUAAAGGAACCUACUCCUGCAGCAUGUUACUUGAAUCACUGUGAUUAGUGGAAUACUUAAAGUGGCUGCUGCGGGAACAUGAGAAUAUAAAAUAUUGUGAUAAGGAGGUUUUCUGAAGGACAGUUUGAAGAGGCACUCUUUGGCUGCAUGUUGGAGAAGUGUGUGAAACCCGGUGUUACAACUUACACUUCUUUUCUGGACGGGAUCUCCCAAGAAGAAAAGAUUGAAGCAGCUUGGAAACAACGUGCAUAUUAAUUACUGAAAUUGAAACCUGUAUUGAUGUUCUUAUUAUGUUCAGUAUCAAGAGCAUAAUUUAGAGUUCGACUUUGGAUUUGGCAACAUUAUAGUGGUUAAUAGCGGUGCUUCUCAAAUUUGUCUAGAGACUCUAGAUCAUGCUGAGGUGAUUUGACUUUUCUUCCUUCUCUAUGUAGCACUUUAGGCAUGGAGUACAUUGCUCAAAGUGACUAAUUUUAAGGCUACAUACUAAUUUUUAUGUAAUAGUUUUGUUGUCUGAUUAUGACUAGAAGCAUAGAUGUGCAAGCCUU